GGUUAAGCGACUAAGCGUACACGGUGGAUGCCCUGGCAGUCAGAGGCGAUGAAGGACGUGCUAAUCUGCGAUAAGCGUCGGUGAGGUGAUAUGAACCGUUAUAACCGGCGAUUUCCGAAUGGGGAAACCCAGUGUGUUUCGACACACUAUCAUUAACUGAAUCCAUAGGUUAAUGAGGCGAACCGGGGGAACUGAAACAUCUAAGUACCCCGAGGAAAAGAAAUCAACCGAGAUUCCCCCAGUAGCGGCGAGCGAACGGGGAGCAGCCCAGAGCCUGAAUCAGUGUGUGUGUUAGUGGAAGCGUCUGGAAAGGCGCGCGAUACAGGGUGACAGCCCCGUACACAAAAAUGCACAUGCUGUGAGCUCGAUGAGUAGGGCGGGACACGUGGUAUCCUGUCUGAAUAUGGGGGGACCAUCCUCCAAGGCUAAAUACUCCUGACUGACCGAUAGUGAACCAGUACCGUGAGGGAAAGGCGAAAAGAACCCCGGCGAGGGGAGUGAAAAAGAACCUGAAACCGUGUACGUACAAGCAGUGGGAGCCUCUUUAUGGGGUGACUGCGUACCUUUUGUAUAAUGGGUCAGCGACUUAUAUUCUGUAGCAAGGUUAACCGAAUAGGGGAGCCGAAGGGAAACCGAGUCUUAACUGGGCGUUAAGUUGCAGGGUAUAGACCCGAAACCCGGUGAUCUAGCCAUGGGCAGGUUGAAGGUUGGGUAACACUAACUGGAGGACCGAACCGACUAAUGUUGAAAAAUUAGCGGAUGACUUGUGGCUGGGGGUGAAAGGCCAAUCAAACCGGGAGAUAGCUGGUUCUCCCCGAAAGCUAUUUAGGUAGCGCCUCGUGAAUUCAUCUCCGGGGGUAGAGCACUGUUUCGGCAAGGGGGUCAUCCCGACUUACCAACCCGAUGCAAACUGCGAAUACCGGAGAAUGUUAUCACGGGAGACACACGGCGGGUGCUAACGUCCGUCGUGAAGAGGGAAACAACCCAGACCGCCAGCUAAGGUCCCAAAGUCAUGGUUAAGUGGGAAACGAUGUGGGAAGGCCCAGACAGCCAGGAUGUUGGCUUAGAAGCAGCCAUCAUUUAAAGAAAGCGUAAUAGCUCACUGGUCGAGUCGGCCUGCGCGGAAGAUGUAACGGGGCUAAACCAUGCACCGAAGCUGCGGCAGCGACACUAUGUGUUGUUGGGUAGGGGAGCGUUCUGUAAGCCUGUGAAGGUGUACUGUGAGGUAUGCUGGAGGUAUCAGAAGUGCGAAUGCUGACAUAAGUAACGAUAAAGCGGGUGAAAAGCCCGCUCGCCGGAAGACCAAGGGUUCCUGUCCAACGUUAAUCGGGGCAGGGUGAGUCGACCCCUAAGGCGAGGCCGAAAGGCGUAGUCGAUGGGAAACAGGUUAAUAUUCCUGUACUUGGUGUUACUGCGAAGGGGGGACGGAGAAGGCUAUGUUGGCCGGGCGACGGUUGUCCCGGUUUAAGCGUGUAGGCUGGUUUUCCAGGCAAAUCCGGAAAAUCAAGGCUGAGGCGUGAUGACGAGGCACUACGGUGCUGAAGCAACAAAUGCCCUGCUUCCAGGAAAAGCCUCUAAGCAUCAGGUAACAUCAAAUCGUACCCCAAACCGACACAGGUGGUCAGGUAGAGAAUACCAAGGCGCUUGAGAGAACUCGGGUGAAGGAACUAGGCAAAAUGGUGCCGUAACUUCGGGAGAAGGCACGCUGAUAUGUAGGUGAAGCGACUUGCUCGUGGAGCUGAAAUCAGUCGAAGAUACCAGCUGGCUGCAACUGUUUAUUAAAAACACAGCACUGUGCAAACACGAAAGUGGACGUAUACGGUGUGACGCCUGCCCGGUGCCGGAAGGUUAAUUGAUGGGGUUAGCGGUAACGCGAAGCUCUUGAUCGAAGCCCCGGUAAACGGCGGCCGUAACUAUAACGGUCCUAAGGUAGCGAAAUUCCUUGUCGGGUAAGUUCCGACCUGCACGAAUGGCGUAAUGAUGGCCAGGCUGUCUCCACCCGAGACUCAGUGAAAUUGAACUCGCUGUGAAGAUGCAGUGUACCCGCGGCAAGACGGAAAGACCCCGUGAACCUUUACUAUAGCUUGACACUGAACAUUGAGCCUUGAUGUGUAGGAUAGGUGGGAGGCUUUGAAGUGUGGACGCCAGUCUGCAUGGAGCCGGCCUUGAAAUACCACCCUUUAAUGUUUGAUGUUCUAACGUUGGCCCCUGAUCGGGGUUGCGGACAGUGUCUGGUGGGUAGUUUGACUGGGGCGGUCUCCUCCUAAAGAGUAACGGAGGAGCACGAAGGUUGGCUAAUCCUGGUCGGACAUCAGGAGGUUAGUGCAAUGGCAUAAGCCAGCUUGACUGCGAGCGUGACGGCGCGAGCAGGUGCGAAAGCAGGUCAUAGUGAUCCGGUGGUUCUGAAUGGAAGGGCCAUCGCUCAACGGAUAAAAGGUACUCCGGGGAUAACAGGCUGAUACCGCCCAAGAGUUCAUAUCGACGGCGGUGUUUGGCACCUCGAUGUCGGCUCAUCACAUCCUGGGGCUGAAGUAGGUCCCAAGGGUAUGGCUGUUCGCCAUUUAAAGUGGUACGCGAGCUGGGUUUAGAACGUCGUGAGACAGUUCGGUCCCUAUCUGCCGUGGGCGCUGGAGAACUGAGGGGGGCUGCUCCUAGUACGAGAGGACCGGAGUGGACGCAUCACUGGUGUUCGGGUUGUCAUGCCAAUGGCACUGCCCGGUAGCUAAAUGCGGAAGAGAUAAGUG
rnacentral:rRNA from 1 species